GGGAGGGGCCCGGACAGUGUAAUAAUUUGUAGCAUAAAAAUGUAGCUCGGCGAUUGUUAUUUAAUACUUCUUGAAGAGAUUGGGGUUGCGAGGGGAGAGAAAGAGGACGCCUUACAAAUAUACAUGCUGUUGGAGAUGUAGGGGGUUUUAAUUUUAUUGCUUUUACUCCAAACAAAGCUCUGCUGAAGCCUCCGCGCGAUCAAUCUUCCCGGCCAAACGCUUUGACAGCUUCUGGCCCUUAAGAACACAUUUAAAGCUUCUUGCUCGUUCCAAGAUCAAAUAUGGCUGAGAAAAAGAAGAAAAAGAGCAAGAAACAGCAAGUAAACAAGGAAAAAGGAGGCUCCUUUGUCUUUCUAACCCCCCCAGCCCCCCAAGUCUGGAUUUUAUUAGGAAUGAGACCUUUAGCUCUUUGGGUUGCCUUCAGGAAAGGUUCCGGGUAGCCUGAGUUUAGUCCGGAGAUCGCAGCUGUGCAGCUGUAUUACGAUGAAAGGUAGACUGUGCAUGGAAAAGACCGUAAGGAGCAACGAUCACCCCGCUGGGCUGAGCAGAUCUCUUUGCAAAAGCGCCUGAUUUAUGAUGCCUGAAUCUGUUUCUUCAUUAUUGCCAUGAUGAAUUGAAUUUUGCCUGUAAACAAAUGCGUUUUGAAUUCGUGCCAUAUCAAAUAUGAGUCUACAUAAGCUUCAUUUUAUUCUUACUUCUCCUGGCCGUCAUUUAACUUCGUCCUUCAUAAACACAACGCGCACACACGCACACACACACACACAUUUCCCAUCACUCAGUAUAAACAGUGACUGAAUUGUCCGUUUUGUGCCGGAGAGGGAAAGUGUGGGAGUAGAAGCUCUCAAUCGUUUCAAAGAUCUCCAGUGCGGAGGCGAGAAGGACCUUCCCCAUAGGAACGGCUGGCCUCUUCCCACAGAAGGGACCCCAACAUGGCGAAAGGCAGAACAGCCUGCAAGCGAGAUCCAGCUAAGCCUGCGGCCUCAAGAGAACAUUCCCUUCGAAAAGCGACAGCACCUGAGCUUCAUUUACAGACUCUGGCUCCAGCCAUUAGCAACCCAGCAUCUCCCUUCUCCACUUCCCCUUGGCUUAGCUACCGACAUACACACGCACAUAUACACUCAAAAACCGACGUUGAACUACUGGCUGUGUUUAUGGUGGGGGAGAAUAAAACCUCCUGCAGAUCUGAAAUCUUCAGCUAUGGACAAAAAGGUGGAUCUUUUGUAUCUUGGAUAUUUCCAAUGUCCCAAGUCUCCCUCUGUUCGGGAUGGACGGCUACUUAAACAUUGGCAGGCAAGCCUAGUCAGAGAAACAGAGAAGAUCUGAAGGUUGGAUGUUGGAGAUUUGUAUAUUUAAAGCUCAAUGGGCUUGAUCGUCAGAAUUUAUGUUUUUUCUCUCUCCCUCUCCCUUUUAAAAUCAAAUAAUCGUGUCUUAAGAGUGAAUUAUUCAGAAUAAAAACUUUAUUUUUUUUU